rnacentral:rRNA from 1 species
UACGUAGGGGGGCAAGCGUUUGUCCGGAAUCAUUGGGCGUAAAGAGCGUGUAGGCGGCCCGGUAAGUCCGCUGUGAAAGUCCAGGGCUCAACCCUGGAAUGCCGGUGGAAACUGUCGGGCUAGAGUCCGGAAGAGGCGAGUGGAAUUCCUGGUGUAGCGGUGAAAUGCGCAGAUAUCAGGAGGAACACCAAUGGCGAAGGCAGCUCGCUCGGGACGGUACUGACGCUGAGACGCGAAAGCGUGGGGAGCAAACAGG